rnacentral:rRNA from 1 species
ACGCUCGACACCUACGGGGGCAGCAGUGGGGAAUAUUGCACAAUGGGGGAAACCCUGAUGCAGCAACGCCGCGUGAAGGAAGAAGGUUUUCGGAUCGUAAACUUCUAUCAAUAGGGAAGAAAGAAAUGACGGUACCUAAAUAAGAAGCCCCGGCUAACUACGUGCCAGCAGCCACGGUAAUCUGAGCGGGCUGGCAAGGC